GCGGGAUUGGUGUAAUGGUAACACUUCAGUUUUCCAAACUGACACCGGGAGUUCGAUUCUCCCAUCCCGC
rnacentral:tRNA from 1 species